CCUACGGGAGGCUGCAGUGAGGAAUAUUGGUCAAUGGACGGAAGUCUGAACCAGCAAUGCCGCGUGCAGGAAGAAGGCUCUAUGAGUUGUAAACUGCUUUUGUACAAGGGUAAAAAUGAAUACGUGUAUUCAGCUGAAAGUACUGUACGAAUAAGGAUCGGCUAACUCCGUGCCAGCAGCCGCGGUAAUACGGAGGAUCCAAGCGUUAUACGGAUUUAUUGGGUGUAAAGGGUGGGUAGGUGGAUUUAUAAGUUAGAGGUGAAAUGUCCGGGCUUAACUCGGGAACUGCCUCUAAUACUGUUGAUCGUGAGAGUAGAUGCGGUAGGCGGAAUGUAUGGUGUAGCGGUGAAAUGCUUAGAGAUCAGACAGAACACCGAUUGCGAAGGCAGCUUACCAAUCUAUAUCUGACGUUGAGGCACGAAAGCGUGGGGAGCAAACAGGAUUAGAUACCCGAGUAGUC
rnacentral:rRNA from 1 species